CCGGCGCGGCUCCCGGGGUCCAGCGACCCAGCCAGGCGGGCCCCUGGCUCCUCCCCGCGGAGGCGGUUUCCCUCCCGACGCCGCACUCACCCGCCCAGGUCUCGGUCAGGGCAAGGGCCCCGGAGAGCAGCAGGAGGAGGGUUCGGGGCGUCACGACCGCCAUCUUCGGCGUCUGGGAAGAAUCUGAGUCCAGACCACAGGAUUGUAUAUUUAGAAGACCCCAUCAUCCCAGCCCAGACCAGGCCCACAGGGGAUGGAACCUUCCAGAAGUGAGCGGCUGUGGUGGUGCCUUCUGGAGAAGAGCAGAGAUACACGUGCCAUGUGCAGCAUGAAGGGCUGCCGGAGCCCCUCACCCUGAGAUGGGAGCCACCUUCCCAGCUCACCAUCCCCAUCAUGGGCAUCGUUGCUGGCCUGAGUGUCCUAGGAGCUGUGGUCACUGGAGCUGUGGUCAUUGCUGUGAUGUGUAGAAAAAAGAGUUCAGGUGGAAAACGAGGGAGCUAUUCUCAGACUGCGUGUAAGUGGUGGGGGCAGGAGUGUGGGGAGCUCACCCACCCCAUAAUUCCUCCUGUUGCACAUCUCCCGCGGGCUCUGACCAGGUCCUGUUUUUGUUCUACCCCAGGCAGCGACAGUGCCCAGGGCUCUGAUGUGUCUCUCAGGGCUUGUAAAGCCUGAGACAGUUGCCUUGUGUGGGACUGAGACGCAGGAUUUCUUCAUGCCUCCCCUUUGUGACUUCAGGAGCCUCUGGUAUCUCUUUCUGCAAAGGCCUCUGAAUGUGUCUGCGUCCCUGUUAGCAUAAAGUGAGGAGGUGGAAAGACAACCCACCCCGUGUCCACCGUGACCCCUGUCCCCAUGCUGACCUGUGUUCUCUCCCCAGUCAUCUUUCCUGUUCCAGUGAGGCUGGGUGUCUCCUUCACGUGGAGGCUGCUCAUCCCAGCAAUCAGCCUGUGAGCGCCAACCCUGAGGUCCAGGGAGAGCAGCCUCAGUCCAGGAAGCAGGGAGGUUCCAGGGAGCAGAAGGGAGAAGAAAUGGAUCAUAAGAGAAGAGGGAAUCAUACCCAACACUGGA